AACUCUGUUGUUAAAAACCCAGAGCGUAUUGACUAAACAAAUCAAUAAAAAGCAAAGCAACCCUUCUCUCUAUGCGGUCUCUGUCUCUGAAGAAUGCAAAGACAAUCUCUAGGCCCACCAGUAACCAAGCUCCACCCCCAUGGAGGAGCCGAUACUCUCUUAUCAAACGACACUAAACCAGUAUUCAAAGACCUGCCUCCUUCUACUUCACUCGCACCCGACGCUGACGACUUAGAUCACAAAUCAACAAAACCACGCCGAUUCUUUUCUUCUUCAUCCGUACUUUCACCUGCGCCUCCAAAACCAGAGAAACUCAUUCACCUUAUUCCUUUCCUCACCCUCUUUUGUUUCCUUGUCCUCUUCCUUGUCUCCCAUACUCCUUCUCAAUCAGAUUUGGCUCAGUUUAAUGGAUUCUCUAACCAUAUAGGUGCUACCGUGUUUUGAGUCAAGGAACAAUUUCUACAGGUGGUUACAGUCUAGUAGCCGAACUAGGCAAGAAGAUAGCAGAGAUUCAUGCAAAAGUAGAGCCAUUCAGAGAAGAUAGAGGAACUGGAAAUUAGACGAAAUAACACGGAAUAACUUGAACGGGAGCUUUCGCUCCACAAUUUAUAAACAGUGCCCAACGAAUGGCAUGAGGACCUCGAAAGAAGCAUCGAUGAAUUGAAAGGUUUUUCUGAUGAGCUGGACAAUUUCCUUGCGUAAUCUGAUCAUUCAGACGUACUGUUCAUCACUGCGGACACCUUUCUGGCUAGGGAUGGACAUGCAUCCCGAAUUAUGGAAUUGCAGGUAGAGAAAUAGAAUUUUGUUCCCUAGCACAACAUACGCUGGCAUCCACCUACUGAACUACAAGUAUGCGAAGAAGGAAGAAAUUGCCCAACAUUUCUCCAAAUGAAGUUAUAAGACCAGGAGUACCAGUUGCUCUGCCUCUAGCAUAGCAUCAUGUGAGUUUAUUUCGUAUAUGACUAGAAAUCAGGAACCCUCAGUAAGAGAAAAUAACAGAAACAACAGGAUUUAACGAAAUUUUGUACAUUGUCAUUCUGAGGGAAGAAGUCGAGACAUUGCAUGCAAUCUUAUCCAACUAAUUGGAGCAACCAGUCCUACAUUCACAGCUUUUUCCAUGCUGAAAGAACUCCAGCAAGUAAUCAAGAGAUAAUAAAAUACAAACGUUCUAGUUGAAAAA